rnacentral:rRNA from 1 species
UACGUAGGGUGCGAGCGUUGUCCGGAAUUAUUGGGCGUAAAGAGCUCGUAGGCGGUCUGUCGCGUCUGCUGUGAAAACUCGGGGCUUAACCCCGGGCCCGCAGUGGGUACGGGCAGACUAGAGUGCGGUAGGGGAGACUGGAAUUCCUGGUGUAGCGGUGGGAUGUGCAGAUAUCAGGAAGAACAUCGGUGGCGAAGGCGGCUUGCUGGGCCAUUACUGACGCUGAGGCACGAAAGCGUGGGGAGCAAACGGG